rnacentral:lncRNA from 8 species
GUCUACACCAAUCCAACGCUGUUAAAUGUGGGGGGGAGAAGGAAACGACUGCGGACUUCAGGAGGGAGGAGAGGUUAUUGGGACUCACCCUUGAGGAUUGGGAGGGUGGGGUUUGUGUAGGGAGGGUCUGGUGAGGUUAGUCGAAGCAGGAAGCAACAUAACAUUGCUUACUGUAUCCUAGUGUGGAAUGUACACACAGGACAGCAUCAACUAGUCACAACCUUUACGCCAUUUAAAGCUCAUUACAACUGCUGUUCUAGUAUCAUCACUCCAAGGGAGUCAGGACAGUUUUCAGAGACUUGCCGCUGGACUGUGAUUCCAUAGUUAACCUGAGGAUUGACAGACAGAUGCUGUCAGUGGGGUCGUCAGUGGGGUCGUCAGCAGCCGUAGUGAUGCGUCGUGGGAACGCCGGCGGUUGGAACGUUGGCGUUGGUGCCAGGAUGACAUGGAUCAUCACCCUGUGGAUUAUCUGGUCCAGCUGGCUCUGCUUCACGGCCAACGCUCAGAUGAAGAUACCGCCAGAAACGGUUCAGCAAUGGGCCGUCUCCUAUGGAAAACAAAUCAUUUCUCUUUCAACAAAAUACUCUGGGGCUCUUCUACUUCAAAAGGUAACGAGCAGAAACCACCUCUGAUUUAGAGAUGGAUGAGUGGGGGGGAACAGUGUGUGUGUGUGUGUGUGUGUGUGUGUGUGUGUGUGUGUGUGUGUGUGUGUGUGUGUGUGUGUGUGUGUUGGCCUAAUUACCAUCCUAGGUGUGAGUCCCAGCACUUCUCAGUAAUUAGCACAUGCUCUCUGUUCCCUAGCGACCCUGAAGACUACCCAGCAGGACCUGACAACAUCUGUCUGGCCUAACUCACUCUCACACACACACACACUGG